rnacentral:rRNA from 1 species
CUACGGGUCGCUGCAGUGAGGAAUAUUGGUCAAUGGACGCAAGUCUGAACCAGCCAUGCCGCGUGCAGGAUGACAGCCCUAUGGGUUGUAAACUGCUUUUAUACAGGAAGAAACCCUUCUACGUGUAGGAGGCUGACGGUACUGUAAGAAUAAGCAUCGGCUAACUCCGUGCCAGCAGCCGCGGUAAUACGGAGGAUGCAAGCGUUAUCCGGAGUCAUUGGGUUUAAAGGGUGCGUAGGCGGGGCAGUAAGUCAGUGGUGAAAUCCUGCGGCUUAACCGUAGAACUGCCAUUGAUACUGUUGCCCUUGAGUAUAGUUGAAGUGGGCGGAACAUGUAAUGUAGCGGUGAAAUGCAUAGAUAUUACAUAGAACACCAAUUGCGAAGGCAGCUCACUAAGCUAUCACUGACGCUGAGGCACGAAAGCGUGGGGAGCGAACAGGAUUAGAUACCCCCGUAGUC